AGAUAUGAGGGCAAUCUGCAAAGUUUGUCAGCCCAUUGAUUGUUAGGGUUGAUUUGGCUGAUCUGGGUGGCUGGGGGUUUCCUCUUCCUCCCUCACCGCUCCAUGUGUGUCCCUCCCGAAGCUGCCCGAUGGAGAGAAGAGAACAACUACCCCAAUAUAGAAAGACCAUUUCCUGGGUAAAGCGUAUAUGAGCAGCAGAGUUCCCCUGCUAAAACCUCCAAACAAGCUCUCAAAAGUCCAGAAGUACUUUUCUAUGAGAGUCUAAUCCAAUUAAGUUUCUGAAACACU
rnacentral:snRNA from 1 species